rnacentral:rRNA from 1 species
AGAUUGAACGCUGGCGGCAUGCUUUACACAUGCAAGUCGAGCGGCAGCGCGGGGGCAACCCUGGCGGCGAGCGGCGAACGGGUGAGGAACACAUCGGAACGUGCCCCGGAGUGGGGGAUAACGCCGCGAAAGCGGCGCUAAUACCGCAUAUGCUCUGAGGAGGAAAGCGGGGGGACCUGUGAGGGCCUCGCGCUCUGGGAGCGGCCGAUGUCCGAUUAGCUAGUUGGUGGGGUAAUGGCUCACCAAGGCGACGAUCGGUAGCUGGUCUGAGAGGAUGAUCAGCCACACUGGGACUGAGACACGGCCCAGACUCCUACGGGAGGCAGCAGUGGGGAAUUUUGGACAAUGGGGGCAACCUGAUCCAGCCAUGCCGCGUGCGGGAAGAAGGCCUCGGUGUAACGCUUUAGUCGGAAGAAAGAUCACGGAUAACACCGUGUUCUUGACGGUACCGCGGAACUAAGCACCGGCUAACUACGUCGCCAGCAGCCGCGUAA